rnacentral:lncRNA from 1 species
GGAAAAUCUGCGCUCCAGCAGCUGGGACCGAGGCAUGAGAGCGUUGAAUCAUGAGUGGCACCGUUCGCAAAAAUUGGUGUCUUUGUACAAAGACAGUGCCACAACACAACUCAGUGACCAUCGGGAGAGCAGCCUCAUGAUGGGCGAUGCUCCAUCAGUUUUCUCUUGCGAUCUUUUGCAUAGAUCGGUCCCGCCCCGCAUAUGGCGAUGAGGACUCAAGAGACACGGAAAACGUUUUCUUUCUGGAAAACAUGAAAUAGGCUUUGUAGAUGGACAGGAAGUCAAGGGACAAGCGGUGCGCCGCAGAGAGCGAGGACCCACUCUUCUAUUCCUUUGCGGAGGCACGGACACACGGUGUGGCCCGAAACAGCGGCAGGAGAGUGAGACCCGGGCUCCGACCGCGGUGACGCUGUCCUGGUCCCUGGACGGUUAGGAACGGUUGGGUCCUGCUACUGCCUCCGUGGGGCAGGGAGCCUCGCGAGACCAGCACUGCGCCCUACUCGGUCCACCCUGUCCCCGCUCCGCGCUAGGGGCUCACCCUGGGAACAGGGGUCGGGCGAUCCUGGUCAUUGGGGGAUCUUCCGCACUAGCUUCCAUCACAAUACCUGGCAGGUGAUGAG